rnacentral:tRNA from 4 species
GGCCGAAGGACUCCUCGGUAAAGCGCGUCCUUGGGAAGGACGAGACCCCGAGUUCAACUCUCGGCCUAGCCU